GUGAGCUUGUUUGGACAGAGGGAGACUUUCUGCCAAUUCAUUCUCUCUGCUCAUUUAUUCCUGUCUGUCCAUU